rnacentral:rRNA from 1 species
GUGAGGAAUUUUGCGCAAUGGCCGCAAGGCUGACGCAGCAACGCCGCGUGGGUGAUGAAGGCCUUCGGGUCGUAAAGCCCUGUCAGGUGGGAAGAAAGGCCUGGAGAGGAAAGGUUUCAGGUUUGACGGUACCACCAGAGGAAGCACCGGCUAACUCCGUGCCAGCAGCCGCGGUAAUACGGAGGGUGCGAGCGGUAUUCGGAAUUACUGGGCGUAAAGCGCGUGUAGGCGGGGGGACAAGUCUGAUGUGAAAGCCCUGGGCUUAACCUGGGAAGCGCAUUGGAAACUGUUUUUCUUGAGUACUGGAGAGGAAGGGGGAAUUCCCGGUGUAGAGGUGAAAUUCGUAGAGAUCGGGAGGAAUACCAGUGGCGUAGGCGCCCUUCUGGACGGUAACUGACGCUGAGACGCGAAAGCGUGGGGAGCAAACAGGAUUAGAAACCCCGUAGUCC